GUUCUUGUCCUGUAUCCAAAAGAAUGAGGUAUGCAGACAAGUGAAGGGUGAAGAAGAGUUUUAUUUAGUGUUAGAACAGCUUAGAGGAAUGGGUAGCUCCUCUCUGUAGGCAGGUCAUCCCAUCCAGUGUUCAGCUCUCCACAAAAAGGAGGCCCUGGAGAGGAUAACUCCUCUCUGCAGGCAGGUCAUUUGGACAUUUCUGCAGGUCUCUGCAGCUAUCAGCAGAGAAAGUACUCCUCUUUGCAGGUGGUCCUCCCAUCAUCUCCGCCCUCUUCGUCCUGUGCCCCACUCUGGCUGAGCCCUGGGCUUUUAUGGGCCUUGGAGGGAAGGAAGUACAUGCCAGUUGGUCCCUGGGUGGCCAUGGGAGGCCCAGAAGAGGCACCACAAGUCCCCCCACCAGUCUGCCAAUCUGCAGGACUGGCAGCCCGGUCCCCAGCCUUCAGACCUUCCCUGGCCUGAAGGUGUGGCCUUACUGGGGACCUGCCUCCUUCCACCCAAAAAUCAAUUUGCCUCCCACUGCCAUUCAUGGCCCCUGGGCUUGGCCCCAACACCCCCUCCAAGAUCAGAGGAGGCACCAUGAGUGAAGAGAAGCCAGGCAGUGGGAAAAGACACCUCUGAGCUUGGAGGGAUGGAGGAGUGUCCUUCCUAAGGCCACUGAGGGUGCAGGCUGCAGAGACACCAGCUCCUGCACCUGGGAGGGCGGUCACAGCCACACCCAGGAGGGCAGAUCCUGCCUGCUCCCAGACCUCCUCAAAGAGCACAGCUGCAAUUUGGACGGCUGUAGCCCCACCCAGGAGGGUGAGUCUCCUGUGUGCUCUGUAGAGCAGGAGGCCUGGGUCUGAAGCUGCUGGUUGGGCAGUUGCAGCAGCACCCAGAGAGCUCUCCUCCCAACUCCCACCAGCUUUAUGGAGUGUGCAGCCAAAGCCGUGCCUCCCUGCUGCAGCCAGCAUGAUGGCAGCAGCCACUGCCAUCAAAAAUACUCAGCUCGGCCAGGCGUAGUGAUUCACAUUUGUAAUCCCAGCACUUUGGGAGGCUGAGACAAGCAGAUCACGAGGUCAGGAGAUCGAGGCCAUCCUGGCUAAUAUGGUGAAACCCCG
rnacentral:lncRNA from 1 species